GCUCACUGGAUGGCUUCUUGUUUGGUAACAAAGGAAAACUGGGGUUUGACAAGCUCAGUAAGAUAGCGAUCCAAACGGCAAAGGGCGUAGCAUACCUUCACGAGGAAUGCCAGGAUCGGAUAAUUCACUAUGAUAUAAAACCUGGCAAUAUUUUGCUCGAUCGGAACUUCUCCCCAAAAGUUGCAGAUUUCGGAUUGGCAAAGCUCUGCAAUAGGAAUGCCACCCAUGUCACCAUGACAGGAUGCAGAGGGACUCCGGGCUACGCGGCUCCCGAGCUAUGGAUGCCAUUUCCUGUUACUCAUAAGUGUGAUGUUUAUAGUUAUGGGAUGUUAUUGUUUGAGAUUGCAGGGAGGAGGAGGAAUUUGAAGGUGAGCCUUCUUGAGAGCCACCAAUGGUUUCCUAGAUGGGUUUGGAGCAAAUUGGAGAGAGAUGAGAUGGAAGAGAUUGUGAAGAGUUGUGAGAUCGAGGAGGAGGAGGAUAGGGAAAUUCUCGAGAGAAUGAUCCUGAUUGCUGUUUGGUGUGUUCAAUACCAGCCUGAAUUGAGGCCAUGUAUGAGCACUGUGGUAAAGAUGUUGGAAGGAGACGGUAAGAUCGCUCUUCCACCAAACCCUUUCUCUCAUUUGGUUGUUAGGCCAUCUGUCAUGGUUUCACAGCAAUUUGGAGAGACAACUGAAGGAGAAACUACUGUGGAUUCACAACAAUUUGGCGGGGCGAUUGAAAAGGAACCAUAUUCUGAGACUACCCCCAUCAUGAGGAAGUUUGAGAUAACUGUUGCUUCUUCAUAAAAGCAUUGGUCAUUGUAUAUCCUUCCCUUGAAGAAAUUAAAAAAAAAAUUACUGCAUGUGAUACAAUUAUUUUUUUAUUAUUAGAUCACAUGCAGCUUCGCAAUGAGUGCUUCAAAUUUUGAUUUUAGAGAAUAUUUCUAGGGUGUGUUCUCUCUUUGGUGCUUUUGCUAGGUAGAUUGGAGCUUGUUCUUUCCUUCUGUUGUUUUUUUUCAUGGUACUCUACUUUUAUUUUUAUUUUUAUUUUCGGGUAGUUCAGUAGUAGGAAUCAUAUUUGAGAUGUAGAAUUGCUAAAAAAAAUAAAAAAUAUUCCUAGGCUUGGGACCAGUAUGAGGUAGAUCUUGAUGGAUAUCUGCCCAACAGAUACAAUCUGCAUACAUGCAUAUUUAAUCAUUUCUUAUAUGCAAUGCUUACCCCAUAGAAAUCAAUGAAAGAACAUAAUUUAUUUGGUCUCUGAUUGGAGCCAAGUCCAAAAAGAUACACAUAUUGCCAAAACUUUUCUUUUUCUGAGAAAUUGUAUUCAAAUCUUCAUCAACUUAACCAAACAAGCCCAAGCUUCUCAAUAUAUAUAAUUACAAAAAUAAAGAAAUCUAAAAAAUUGACAAGGGGAAUAUAGAAAACCAGAAAGGUCUUAUGUAAGUGGUACUAGAUAACAAAUAUAUUAUCUAUGAAGUUCAAAACAUAUAAAGUUCAAAAUAUUACCAUGAACUAGAAACAAAUUGAUAAUUACCCAAAAAAAAAAAAAAACUAGAAAUAAAAUGAUUAAUGGGAUGAAUAGUUAGGAGCUUUGGAACAUAAUGAGUAUUGGAUUGAAUGAGAAAAUCCCAAGAAACUUGCCAAGAUAAAUACUUCUCUAAGGAAAUGACAAAGGCAAACUAAUCCUUUCCCACAAUUCUUUCUCCAUAAAAUAUUUCCCAUUUGUGCUCGUCAAAGAUAGAUUUGUGUCAUGGGCUCUGUUUUUUUCUCUUGCUUUCUACCCUUUGGGGGCCAUUCUCUUCUAACAUUUUUUUUUUUUUUUUUGGAAAAUAGAUAUGGUUUCUUUUUUUCUCUUGUUUUCCCUCCCUCUUGGUCUCUCUCUCUCAAAAAUCCACAUCGAAUACAUAAAAUAUAUUCGAUUUCUAUCAAAUAAUUUAUUCAUUUUUAAGCUUGAUCACUAUGAACUAAUUUUAAAGAGACAUGGAGAGAUAUCAAAAAAAAAAAAGAGGAAAAAAAAAGGGGCUCCAACAAAGAGUUAGAAUAUAUUAUCGGACCAGACCGCCAUGGAAUAUUUCGAGCAUUUUUGGGUCUCAAGCUCAUGCCAGGCCAAGCCCGGCCAGGUGGCAGCCCUAAUUGGAAUCUUAAAUGUUCUGUUAUGCUUAGGCAUUUGAUAUGAAUCGAUUUCCCUUACUAUUAGAUGGAUUUCGGGCACUGUGAUGGAGGAGCAACCACAUAUUGCUCUCCACAAUUCUCCCCCUCAACACUGAGUUGCUCCGAUCUUCAUUUAUUCUUUGCUUUUUCUUCUUUUUCUUUUUCAUUUUUUUCUUGUUCUUCUUAGAGACAUCAAUGUCUUCUCUCAUUGCAGCUUUCCAUUCGGCAAUUCCCUUUGUCUCAUCAAACAAGUUUGGUUCUUUCAUUUUAAAAAUGCUUGAUGUAUCACACUGCCCAAUUGGCAUUUCUUGUUUAUAGGCGGCUUCUAUGCAGUUAGGAUUUGGUUUCCGAAUUGGUGAAGACCUUUGCAGUUGUACUGUGUUGUCCUCACCUUCUUUAAUAUCUUCUAGUUGUGACAGUUGCAACUCCUCUAGUGUAAGAGUAACCUGCGACUCAUUUUUCGCAUCAUCACCCAACUUCAUGGGUGACAAUUGUUGCUACUCAACACCAUUAACAUAACCAUCACGAACAUUGUUUUUUGAGACCUUAUUGGUUACUUGAUCAAUGAUGUCAUUUCGGACCCACGUGCAAGUCUUGCAAACGAAUUGUUGUCCAUUUGUUGCCCUUGCAUGAUCAAGUCACUUUUGGUUUUCACCUUCUCAAACACUUUGACAUCAUCGGGAACAUGAUGCACGUCUUCUCCCGUAUGAGGCUCGAUUUCAUCUGAAACAUGAUGCACAUCUUCUCCCGUAUGAGGCUCGAUUUCAUCCACCUUAGACGUGGUAAGAGCAAAGGAUUUCUCUCCCUCAUGGUUAACUUCGAUUGAGGUUGUGUCCACGACCUGUGCAAACCCGUCUUGCACAUCCCAGUCAUUGUUAUUGUCCUGCGACUUUAGUUGUGCAUGUCAUCCACAAGUUCCUCAGAUUCCUCCAAUCGUCUGAGCUUGACUGACUGAUCACCAAGUAACUGCUCUCUCUUGGCUUCUUGCAUUGUCCAAUCGAUAAUCAGCCAAUUCCGAACUCAUCAGUUUGGUCACUUCAACUAUUGCAAAAGAUGCCUCAUCAUCCCAUUCUUCCUCGAUCUCGAACUGGUGACUUGUCGCGGUCAUCAUAUUUCCCUCAGCUAGCCUCCUUUUCUUUAACCAGUGGUCACAAACAAUGUGGCCAUUUUUGCCACAGUCGUAGCACUCGAUGCCUCGUCAAGAUCUCCAUGGUCGCCGGUCUGCGUCAGUAUUGCCUUGUUUAGCUUCCCUUGGUUGGAAGCCCUCUCUCCUUCAGUUGAUCUUGGCAGUCUCUACUUUGUUCGUGCGAAGAGCGCCUCCUCUUCAUCUUUCAUGGAUAUAUCGGCCAUUCGUCGGGCCAACAUCUCUUGGUUCGCCAGCAGACUUUCUAACUCCAUAAGAGUUGGAUGUGUCAGUCUUCCUCUGAUGGCCGACACGAACCCAUUGUAUUCGGGUCUCAAGCCUUUGAUGAUGAUACAUCUCAUUCUAAUAUCACUAAUCUGAGAUUCCGGAUCGAGUUUUGAAAUCUCAUGGCAGGGAGAUUUCACCUUUAUGAAGGUCUACAUCAUUGUCCCUUAUGACACCGAUCCAAGCUCGUUUUCCAAAAAUUGGAGUCGAGCAUCACUUGUCUUGUCAAUUCGGAGUGGUGGAGUCUUGAAUUUGGUCCAACAGUUCCUUUUGAAUUGUUAUCUUUAACGCGAACAUGGCCUUGAUGCUUCAUCGUUGUAGUGCUUUGGCAUUCUCUUUUGCAGGUGGUAUGGUUUUGCUGCCACCGACGACCUCACAGAGGUCCUAUCGUUGUAGGUAUGAUUCCAUAUACGACCGCCAGUCGUCGUAGUUGUAGUGGUUCAGCUUCUCGACCCAUCCAGAUGCAUUUGCUAGGUCCACCACGUCAAUCCCAACACCUAGAAGCUCAGUGAUCGGCUUCACAGUAUCUCGUUGCUCACGUACACCAUGAUUGGUGUGAUCCUACUUUGAUCUCAACACCUAGAAACGCAGUCCCUAACUGAUCGGCAUCACCCUUUUAACUGCUCACUUACAAUGCCCCUGACCAAAUCCGCUUUUAUACCAAUUGUAGAGUUUUGCAUAAACUCUGGUACCAAUUGUAAAAAUCCAACACAGCAACUAAGGGAGAGAACCAUUUUCUUUUAUUAUUAAAAAAACAUUGACCACCCAAAAUAUACUCCCUAAAACUCGCAUGCUCAACCCCUUACUACAACUCCCACAAUUUGUAUUCUUUUUCUUUUACACACCAAAAAUAAAGCACACCCAAGCUCUAUUUAUAAGAUUUGUGAAUGGCCGGCCCUUCCAAAAGGCUCACAAUGAUCAAUAAAGGGCGCCAUCCUUGAGAAUAUUCCAGAGAGAGGAGGAGGAGGGCGAGAAGAGUUGGGAGGAGAAUCCUUGAGUGUUGUCACUUCACUUCACUCGAGUUGCAGAUAUUAUAUUCUUUUUUGUCUCUUAAAAUUUUAAGGUCCUAAAACUUACUCCCAAAGCAAAUAUCAUCUUUUUCAACUCUACAUAGUCAAAGUUGGCAGCUGAGAGCACAAAUGCAUUUUGUGACCCAACUCUACAUAGUCAAAGUUGGUGGCUGAGAGCACAAAUGCAUUUUGUGACCCAAUCAAUAAUGAAGCUUGGAAACGGUAGAGAUCGAGAGCGAGGCUAAAAAAACCAGCUUCAACCAUAACAAUCCACAAUCCACACUUAGUUUUCUGUUUUCUCUGAUCAUCACUCCAGGCAAAGGAAUGGAUUCAACAAAUACAGGGUCAUCUUCUCAAGAUUUUUGGGGAGCCAUGCCAACCUUUGCUAAAGUCUUUUUGAUCGCCAUUGGUAAGCUUUUGAUUUCUGUUAAGCAGUGUUGUGUUUGCCGACCUGAAAACUCGACGAGAUCCUAAAGGCUCCCCGGUCAUGUUGACCUGGGAACCUAUGGGAUCAACCCGACGGGGCCUUAGGAGAAAUUAAAAAGCAAUCAUGACCGGAAUGAAACUCGUUAAAAGUGAUCGGAUCUUGGUUAAAACUCGAUAAACAUGGUUGGAUUUGUUAGAACCUAGAACCUGAUCCCUUUUGGGUUUGGAUAUGUAACCAGGCACCAUUGGCUUCAGAUUGUCAACCCAAUCUGAAGCCACCCGGUUACACACCCAAACCCGAAAAGGGGCAAAUCUUGUAACAAGACCUGUAAACAAUUCUCUUAGAUUACAUCCCCUAUGUUGUUUGUAUGGGUGGGUGUGUGAGAGAGUUUUUAUUUCUACUUUUUGUUGAAGGAUUUCUAUGAUCACAUUCUCCAUAAAAUAAAAAAUACUCUAUUUGGGAUUCUCAUACGUGAGAAUUUUUCCAUCUUUCAGUUUCCGGUAUGGGUCUUUCAAUUCUUUUUGCCAUCAUUCGGUUCAUCAAGAAGAGCACUAAGAUCUCAAACAUCGAAAUCGAAGGAGUGGGCAAUGGACCUCCCCUAAUUGUCGAACUCAUGGACAAUAUGGAGAAGCUCAAGCCCACAAGGUUCACCUCUCGCCAACUCAAGGCUGCAACCUUAAACUUCACCCAUAAGUUAGGUGCGGGUGGUUAUGGUGAGGUCUAUAAGGGCACUCUCGCAAACGGGGAUAGUGUGGCUGUAAAAGUCCUAAAGGGAAGCUCGGACGAACAAAUUGAAGCUCAAUUCAUAGCGGAGGUGAGCACCAUAGGAAGAACCCACCAUGUUAAUUUAGUCAGGCUCAUUGGCUUUUGCUUUGAAAAUACCAUGAGGGCUUUGGUUUAUGAGCAUGUGGAGAGGGGCUCACUGGAUGGCUUCUUGUUUGGUAACAAAGGAAAACUGGGGUUUGACAAGCUCAGUAAGAUAGCGAUCCAAACGGCAAAGGGCGUAGCAUACCUUCACGAGGAAUGCCAGGAUCGGAUAAUUCACUAUGAUAUAAAACCUGGCAAUAUUUUGCUCGAUCGGAACUUCUCCCCAAAAGUUGCAGAUUUCGGAUUGGCAAAGCUCUGCAAUAGGAAUGCCACCCAUGUCACCAUG
rnacentral:lncRNA from 1 species